UGAUAGCGUUGAAACGAGAGGUUGCUACAGUAAUGUAGGUUUUCCGCGGAGCGAAUGUCAAGUUAGGAAACUGGCGACAA
rnacentral:ncRNA from 1 species